UGGUUUAAUUCGAUGCAACGCGAAGAACCUUACCUGGGCUUGACAUCCCGGGAAGUCUCCUGGAAAACAGGAGAGGUGCCUUUCGGGGAACCCGGAGACAGGUGCUGCAUGGCUGUCGUCAGCUCGUGUCGUGAGAUGUUGGGUUAAGCCCCGCAACGAGCGCAACCCUUGUCCUUAGUUGCCAGCAUUAAGUUGGGCACUCUAAGGAGACUGCCGGUGUUAAACCGGAGGAAGGUGGGGAUGACGUCAAGUCCUCAUGGCCCUUAUGUCCAGGGCUACACACGUGCUACAAUGGCCGGUACAAAGGGCUGCAAUACCGCAAGGUGGAGCGAACCCCAAAAAGCCGGUCUCAGUUCGGAUUGGAGUCUGCAACUCGACUCCAUGAAGUUGGAAUCGCUAGUAAUCGCGGAUCGGCAUGCCCGCGGUCGAAUACGUUCCCGGGCCUU
rnacentral:rRNA from 1 species